rnacentral:rRNA from 1 species
UGAGUAACCUGCCCUUAACUCUGGGAUAAGCCUGGGAAACUGGGUCUAAUACCGGAUAUGACUCCUCAUCGCAUGGUGGGGGGUGGAAAGCUUUUUUGUGGUUUUGGAUGGACUCGCGGCCUAUCAGCUUGUUGGUGAGGUAAUGGCUCACCAAGGCGACGACGGGUAGCCGGCCUGAGAGGGUGACCGGCCACACGUGGGACUGAGACACGGCCCAGACUCCUACGGGAGGCAG